GAGUUUGAUCAUGGCUCAGGAUGAACGCUGGCGGCGUGCUUAACACAUGCAAGUCGAACGAACCUUCGGGUUAGUGGCGGACGGGUGAGUAACGCGUGGGAAUCUGCCCUCAGGAGGGGGAUAACGGUUGGAAACGACCGCUAAUACCCCAUAUGCCGAGAGGUGAAAUGAAUUUCGCCUGAGGAUGAGCCCGCGUCUGAUUAGCUUGUUGGUGAGGUAAUGGCUCACCAAGGCAUCGAUCAGUAGCUGGUCUGAGAGGAUGAUCACCCACUCUGGGACUGAGACACGGCCCAGACUCCUACGGGAGGCAGCAGUGGGGAAUUUUCCGCAAUGGGAGAAAGCCUGACGGAGCAACGCCGCGUGAGGGACGAAGGCCUCUGGGCUGUAAACCUCUUUUCUCAAGGAAGAAGAUAUGACGGCACUUGAGAAAUAAGCCACGGCUAAUUCCGUGCCAGCAGCCGCGGUAAUACGGGAGUGGCAAGCGUUAUCCGGAAUUAUUGGGCGUAAAGCGUCCGCAGGCGGCCUUUCAAGUCUGCUGUUAAAACGUGGAGCUCAACUCCAUCAUGGCAGUGGAAACUGAUUGGCUUGAGUAUGGUAGGGGCAGAGGGAAUUCCCGGUGUAGCGGUGAAAUGCGUAGAUAUCGGGAAGAACACCAGUGGCGAAGGCGCUCUGCUGGGCCAUUACUGACGCUCAUGGACGAAAGCCAGGGGAGCGAAAGGGAUUAGAUACCCCUGUAGUCCUGGCCGUAAACGAUGAACACUAGGUGUCGGGGGAAUCGACCCCCUUCGGGUGUCGUAGCUAACGCGUUAAGUGUCCCGCCUGGGGAGUACGCACGCAAGUGUGAAACUCAAAGGAAUUGACGGGGGCCCGCACAAGCGGUGGAGUAUGUGGUUUAAUUCGAUGCAACGCGAAGAACCUUACCAGGGCUUGACAUCCUGCGAACCUCUAAGAAAUUAGAGGGUGCCUUCGGGAACGCAGUGACAGGUGGUGCGUGGCUGUCGUCAGCUCGUGUCGUGAGAUGUUGGGUUAAGUCCCGCAACGAGCGCAACCCACGUUUUUAGUUGCCAGCAUUUAGUUGGGCACUCUAGAAAGACCGCCGGUGAUAAACCGGAGGAAGGUGUGGAUGACGUCAAGUCAUCAUGCCCCUUACGUCCUGGGCUACACACGUACUACAAUGCUACGGACAAAGGGCAGCAAACUCGCGAGAGCUAGCAAAUCCCAUAAACCGUGGCUCAGUUCAGAUCGUAGGCUGCAACUCGCCUACGUGAAGUAGGAAUCGCUAGUAAUCGCAGGUCAGCAUACUGCGGUGAAUACGUUCCCGGGCCUUGUACACACCGCCCGUCACACCAUGGAAGUUGGCCACGCCCGAAGUCGUUACUUUAACCCUUGUGGAGAAGGACGCCGAAGGUGGGGCUGAUGACUGGGGUGAAGUCGUAACAAGGUAACC
rnacentral:rRNA from 1 species